GGCUGGCGGCAGGCCUAACACAUGCAAGUCGAGCGGCAGCGACUUAACUGAACCUUCGGGGAACGUUAAGGGCGGCGAGCGGCGGACGGGUGAGUAAUGCCUGGGAAUAUGCCCUGAUGUGGGGGAUAACUAUUGGAAACGAUAGCUAAUACCGCAUAAUCUCUUCGGAGCAAAGAGGGGGACCUUCGGGCCUCUCGCGUCAGGAUUAGCCCAGGUGGGAUUAGCUUGUUGGUGAGGUAAUGGCUCACCAAGGCAACGAUCCCUAGCUGGUCUGAGAGGAUGAUCAGCCACACUGGAACUGAGACACGGUCCAGACUCCUACGGGAGGCAGCAGUGGGGAAUAUUGCACAAUGGGGGAAACCCUGAUGCAGCCAUGCCGCGUGUGUGAAGAAGGCCUUCGGGUUGUAAAGCACUUUCAGUAGGGAGGAAGGUAGUGUAGUUAACACCUGCAUUAUUUGACGUUACCUACAGAAGAAGCACCGGCUAACUCCGUGCCAGCAGCCGCGGUAAUACGGAGGGUGCGAGCGUUAAUCGGAAUUACUGGGCGUAAAGCGCAUGCAGGCGGCCUGUUAAGUCAGAUGUGAAAGCCCGGGGCUUAACCUCGGAAUUGCAUUUGAAACUGGCAGGCUAGAGUCUUGU
rnacentral:rRNA from 1 species